AGGUGGUCCCACUCCUUCCCAUCCCGAACAGGACAGUGAAACGCCUUUGCGCCGAUGAUAGUGGACGGACGUCUGUGAAAGUAGGUCAUUGUCAGGC
rnacentral:rRNA from 1 species